rnacentral:rRNA from 1 species
UACAGAGGUCUCGAGCGUUGUUCGGAUUCAUUGGGCGUAAAGGGUGCGUAGGCGGCUUCCUAAGUCUGGUGUGAAAUCCCGGGGCUCAACCCCGGAAUGGCAUUGGAUACUGGGAGGCUAGAGAACUGGAGAGGAGACUGGAAUUUACGGUGUAGCAGUGAAAUGCGUAGAGAUCGUAAGGAAGACCAGUGGCGAAGGCGAGUCUCUGGACAGUUCCUGACGCUGAGGCACGAAGGCCAGGGGAGCAAACGGG